AUUGAACGCUGGCGGCAUGCCUUACACAUGCAAGUCGAACGCCCCGCAAGGGGAGUGGCAGACGGGUGAGUAACGCGUGGGAAUCUACCCAGAUCUACGGAACAACAGUUGGAAACGACUGCUAAUACCGUAUACGCCCUACGGGGGAAAGAUUUAUCGGAUUUGGAUGAGCCCGCGUUGGAUUAGCUAGUUGGUGGGGUAAUGGCCUACCAAGGCGACGAUCCAUAGCUGGUCUGAGAGGAUGAUCAGCCACACUGGGACUGAGACACGGCCCAGACUACUACGGGAGGCAGCAGUGGGGAAUAUUGGACAAUGGGCGCAAGCCUGAUCCAGCCAUGCCGCGUGAGUGAUGAAGGCCUUAGGGUUGUAAAGCUCUUUCACCGAUGAAGAUAAUGACGGUAGUCGGAGAAGAAGCCCCGGCUAACUUCGUGCCAGCAGCCGCCGUAAGAC
rnacentral:rRNA from 1 species